UAUUAUACUAAUAAAUACUAUAAAAUCUUAAUUAUUAAUAGAUAUAUUCUUUAAAUUUGAAUAAUUUGGCGGUAAUUUAGUCUUGUUAGAGGAACCUGUUUUUGAAUCGAUACUCCACGUAAAAUCUUACUUAUCUUUUUAAAGUUUAUAUACCGUCAUUAGUAGAUAAUUUUUAAAAAAUUAAUUGUUAAAAUUUAAAUAAAGUAAAUUAAAUUAGAUCAAGGUGUGGCUUAUAGAUAAGUUAAAAUGGGUUACAAUAAAAUUUAUUUAAAACGAAGCAAAUAUGAGAAGUUAAUUUUGUAGAAGGAGGAUUUAAUUGUAAUGUAAGUUUAAUAAGCUAGAAAGAUAUAAGCUCUAAAUUAU
rnacentral:rRNA from 1 species